UACGGAGGGUGCAAGCGUUAUCCGGAUUCACUGGGUUUAAAGGGUGCGUAGGUGGGUUGGUAAGUCAGUGGUGAAAUCUCCGGGCUUAACUCGGAAACUGCCGUUGAUACUAUCAAUCUUGAAUGUUGUGGAGGUAAGCGGAAUAUGUCAUGUAGCGGUGAAAUGCUUAGAUAUGACAUAGAACACCGAUAGCGAAGGCAGCUUGCUACACAAUAAUUGACACUGAGGCACGAAAGCGUGGGGAUCAAACAGG
rnacentral:rRNA from 1 species